GUGAGGAAUAUUGGUCAAUGGGCGCAAGCCUGAACCAGCCAUGCCGCGUGCAGGAAGACGGUCCUAUGGAUUGUAAACUGCUUUUAUUUGGGAAUAAACUCCGGUACGUGUACCGGCCUGAAGGUACCAAAUGAAUAAGCACCGGCUAACUCCGUGCCAGCAGCCGCGGUAAUACGGAGGGUGCAAGCGUUAUCCGGAAUCAUUGGGUUUAAAGGGUCCGCAGGCGGUCUUAUAAGUCAGUGGUGAAAGCCUACAGCUCAACUGUAGAACUUCCAUUGAUACUGUAGGACUUGAAUUCGAUCGAAGUUGGCGGAAUGUGACAUGUAGCGGUGAAAUGCUUAGAUAUGUCACAGAACACCGAUAGCGAAGGCAGCUCACUAGGUCUGGAUUGACGCUCAGGGACGAAAGCGUGGGGAGAAAACAGGAUUAGAAACCCGGGUAGUCC
rnacentral:rRNA from 1 species